GCCCUUGGUGCUACCAGGCGCCCCAUGCCAUCAUCUAAGAGCAUAACACCCUGAUCUCGGAAGUUAAGCAGGGCCAGGCCUGGCCAGUACUGUGAUGGGAAACCGCCUGGGAAUACUGGGUGCUGUAGGCU
rnacentral:rRNA from 1 species